rnacentral:rRNA from 1 species
GAUGAACGCUGGCGGCGUGCCUAAUACAUGCAAGUCGAGCGAACAGACGAGAAGCUUGCUCCUCUGAUGUUAGCGGCGGACGGGUGAGUAACACGUGGAUAACCUACCUAUAAGACUGGGAUAACUUCGGGAAACCGGAGCUAAUACCGGAUAAUAUUUUGAACCGCAUGGUUCAAUAGUGAAAGACGGUUUUGCUGUCACUUAUAGAUGGAUCCGCGCUGCAUUAGCUAGUUGGUAAGGUAACGGCUUACCAAGGCAACGAUGCGUAGCCGACCUGAGAGGGUGAUCGGCCACACUGGAACUGAGACACGGUCCAGACUCCUACGGGAGGCAGCAGUAGGGAAUCUUCCGCAAUGGGCGAAAGCCUGACGGAGCAACGCCGCGUGAGUGAUGAAGGUCUUCGGAUCGUAAAACUCUGUUAUUAGGGAAGAACAUAUGUGUAAGUAACUGUGCACAUCUUGACGGUACCUAAUCAGAAAGCCACGGCUAACUACGUG